rnacentral:rRNA from 1 species
AUGCCAGAAGGGGUUAAUGAUACAGCGAUCGUCCUCAUUCCGAAAGUCCCUCAUCCCAAGGAGCUCAAGGACUUCAGGCCGAUCAGCUUAUGCAAUGUAAUUUACAAACUGGUUUCUAAAUGCUUGGUUAAUCGUAUCCGUCCCUGGCUGUCGGAGCUGAUUUCUAAGAACCAAAGUGCUUUUAUUCCGGGCCGGCUCAUCUCGGAUAAUUCUAUUAUUGGUUUCGAGUGCAUCCAUCACAUACAGUCUCUGAAGAGUAAAAGUCGGGCGGCCUGCGCGUACAAACUCGAUCUCUCGAAGGCAUACGAUCGGGUCGACUGGGACUUUCUGGAGAAGGCUCUUAGUAGAUGGGGUUUUCCUGAGCAGUGGAUUGCCUGGAUAAUGACGUGUGUUAAAUCAGUCUGA